rnacentral:rRNA from 1 species
UACGUAGGGCGCAAGCGUUGUCCGGAAUUAUUGGGCGUAAAGAGCUCGUAGGCGGUCUGUCGCGUCUGUUGUGAAAACUUGAGGCUCAACCUCGGGCUUGCAGUGGAUACGGGCAGACUAGAGUGAUGUAGGGGAGACUGGAAUUCCUGGUGUAGCGGUGAAAUGCGCAGAUAUCAGGAGGAACACCGAUGGCGAAGGCAGGUCUCUGGGCAUUAACUGACGCUGAGGAGCGAAAGCAUGGGGGAGCGAACAGG